rnacentral:lncRNA from 1 species
UCUGGAUGUUGGAUUAAAUAUUUAGACAGAGUGUUGACCACAUGUGACUUGAGCAGAAUUCGUGGUUAUUUUACCAAACUUCGGAUCAAGGUUUGCUUGAAAUAAGCUAUGCUGUGGAUAAAUCUUUGGAAGAUCAAGAGUGAACUGUAUUGCCCUCUACAUUGUUUCUGUCAGAAACAUGUGAUUCAGGUAUUCUUUGUCUCUCUUUUUUUUUUUUUGGUCUUUUUCUAGGGCCACACCUAUGGCAUAUGGCAGUUCCCAGGCUAGGGGUCCAAUCGGAGCUGUAGCUGCCAGCCUACACCAGAGCCACAGCAACUUGGUAUCCAAGCCACUUCUUCGACCUACACCACAGCUCACGGCAAUGCCGGAGCCUUAACCCACUGAGCGAGGCCAGGAUCAAACCUGAAACCUCAUGGUUCCUAGUCGAAUUCGUUAACCACUGGGCCAUGACGGGAACUCCAAGAUUCAGGUAUUCUUAAAUGUAAAAUUGAUUUUGACCAACCCAGGACCUAUCCAAUAAAAAUCAUCACAGAGGGGAGAACAAGUUGCUAUACAGAUUUUUCUGUUCUCCUUUUAGAAAAUGUAUCUUGGAGCGUAUAGGUGGGUAGUUGGUCAACCCAGUUUCUUUCUUGUAUGACAUGCCAGAGUUUGAUAUUGUCAGUCUAUUAACCAAGAUCUGUAAUGGGAUCAUUGCUGAAAGAGGCUUUGAGAAUAUUCUAUCACCAGUAUUUAGGUGUUGUAAGUUUUCAUCCAGGGCAGAUGAAAGGGUAACACAAUUAUCUAACACCCAACUAAGUCAAGAGCAUGAAGGAAAUAGGUUUAUUAAAGCUUAACUCAAGUCAGAUAACUUGUAUUAUGGGUGGACAUGGCUGGGUUAACUCAGGGUUUUUUGUUUGUUUUUUUUUUUUUUGUCUUUCUUUCUUUCUUUUUUUUUUUUUUCUUCAAAGAAGCAGACUUUUUAAGAUUAGAUCAACAUUACUGGUAGAAGCAGGAAACUUAGGGGCAAGCCAUUAAGUGUAACAUCAAAGUAUAGCUUCUAUAUCUCAGCUGUAAAGACAGGAACAUACCCAUUUUUCUCAAGUACUGCUUCUGAAUAGUUAUAUCAGUAAGCUGUAUCAAUAGAAAAGGAGAGACUAGAAAUGUAUACGUGCAAUUCCACCAUCAGCCAAAAAGCCAUAUAAGUCUUUCAGACUCUAAAGUAACAUUCAUGAUAGGGAAUAACACAUUGGUGUACUUUUGUUUUGCUUUUUAGGGCCACACCUGUGGCAUAUGGAAGUUCCCAGGCUAGGAGUCGAAUCAGAGCUACAGCUGCUGGCCUACACCACAGCCAUAGCAAUGCAGGGUCCGAGUUGCAUCUGUGACCUACACCAUAGCUCACCGCAACAGUGGAUCUGCGACCCACUGAGUAAGGCCCAGAAUUGAACCGGCAUCCUCAUAGAUACUGAUCAGAUUCGUUUCUAUUGCACCAUAGAGGGAACUCCCCAUUGGUGUACUUUUAAAUCUCAUCUCUUUCAUUUUUUAAGUGCAUGUGUGCUCUUAGCAUGUGUUCAACAGAUGCCAGGGGGAGGAAGGUGACAAGAGAAGUCGCACAAUACAGAAUCACUCUUUUUUACCCUUGAAACCAAUAGAGUUUAAUUGUAUGCACUAUAUACACACGUGUGUAUGUAUUAUGUAUACACAUAUAUGAAUGUAUGUAUUUAAUAUUUAGCAUAGUAACCUGUGGGUUUUUUUAAAUGUAUUUUAUUUUGAAGUAUAACAUACUCAUAAAAAAGUGAUACAACCCUUAUAAUUGCUGCCCAUGUGAAAAAGAAAGAGGAGACAGAGGAGAAGGAAGAAGUGGAGGAAUAGGAGGUAGAAGAGAAAUAGAGGAUGAGAAAGAGAAGAAUUAGAAGCUUUCGAAAAAUUUGACUGGCAUAUCAGAAGUCUUGUGAAUUUAUUCCCAAUCACAACCCUCUCCUCACGCUCUUCCCUUAAUAAGCCCUAGCCUCACUUUUUAUGUAGUCAUUUCUUGCUUUCUUUAUAGUCUUGCCACUUUAGUGUGUGCCCAUAUACUCCAUAUAUGUCCAUACAGUUUAGUGAUGUAUGUUUGGGAACUUGAUGUAAGUAUAAUCAUCCUGGAUGUAUUUAGUCUUGUUUCUUCCAUUUGUUACCCAUGUUGUUGAAUACCUCUAUGGUUUGUUGAUUUUCAUUGUUUUGUAGUAAAUGCUGUAAAAGUGUACCACAAUUCCUGUAUCUACUCUGCUAUAUUAGACACCUGGGUUGAUUACAGUUUGCCCCUAACUUCAAAUAAUGUUGCCAUAACUAUUCUUACACUUUUGGUGCACAGGACAUGUAUUUUUUUUUCCUCAACCUAUACUUUUAUUAUUGCCAUUUUAUGAGUAGGAAAAAUUACAGUUUACAAAACACACUUGAGGUCACCCUACUUAUUCAUAACAGAGGUGGAAUUAAGAGACAUAUAACUACAUGCACUUGUUGGAACAUGGAGGACAUGCAUUUCUGUUGGACAUAGUCCUGGUCAAUACAAAUUAAAAAUGUGACCAUGGGCAAUGAAUCUAACUUACUCUAAAUGAAAGUGCAGUGAGCCAGUAAUCUAAUGAAGGAAAACAACCAUUCUUUUGGUUAUUCUAAGGUUGUAGAUGCCGCCUGAACACAGAGAUGGCCAUUUCCAUCCAGGUGAAUAAAAAAAGAGUAUCCAAGAUUGUAUCUUUGCUUAAGAUUCAUGUCUGCAAGUUAUGUUUCAUUAAGAAAAUAAAAUGUUUUAGUUUUUAAACUAUCCCUGGUACUAGUUCUAGAAUUCCAAAAUUAAUAGGAUGAAAUAUCCUUGGAGGGCAGAGAGUAUAUCUCACUUGUCUUUUAUGUUCUUCACAGGGACCAUGGCAAUGCUGGAAAGAUGUUAAGUCUCCACUAAUUAUGCAUUGCCUUAAUAAAUAUUCUGUGGAGUAAAACUAUUUGUACAAACGGUUAUAAUUUUCAAGUGUCAGGCCCACAAAAGGGGAGAAGAGUGGAUUAGUUUAACUUAAAACUUUUUAUGUUCUGGGUUUUUUUUGUUUGUUUGUUUUUGUUUUUUGUCCACACCUGUGGCAUGUGGAAGUUUCUGGGUCAGGGAUAAAACCUGUGCAACAGCAGCAGCCUGAGCCACUGUAGUAACAACACCAGAUCCUUAACUUGCUGCGUUAUGAGAGAGCUCCACUUCUUUGGUUUUGAAAGCCUCUUUCUUGAAAAAAUAAGAAAAUAAUAUUGUGGGUGAGUCCAUCUUUUUUCUUCAUAAUUUUUUUUAACCAAAUUCAUAUAUGUCCUAAGUGCAGGCAGUAUAUUUCUGAGGCUUUUAAAAUUAUAAUUUGGACCUUUUGUUUGCCUUUUGAAAUGAAAGACAAAAUGAACAAUACACUAAGAUGAAAGUAUAUCACUCAUGAUAGACCUGUGCUUCAAAUUAAAUAUAUUUUAGGCCUUAGCUGAUUUUGCCAGUUAAGGCCAGAUCAUGGUAAAUUGAUUUCAGUUAUCUUCCUGUUUUUUUUAAUGGGCUUUGUUCUAAAGCUUCAGCUGAAGAAUCAAACUGUUCUGGAUUAACUGAAGUCUUGUUCCUGUUCAUACAAAUGCAGUCAACAUGAACACUAUAACUCAUCCAAGAACCAUUUAAACUAUUAAGGAAAAGGUGAUUUAAUUGUAGCUCAGUGGGUUAAGGACCCACUCGAUCUCUGGCCUCACUCAGUGGGUUAAGGACUGGGUGUAGAUGCAGCUCAGAUCUGGCGUUGCCAUGGCUGUGGCAUACGCCACAGCUGCAGUUCCCAGUCAACCCAUGGCCUGGGAAAAUCCAUAUGCCACAGAUGCAGUUGUAAAAAGUAAAAGAAAAAGAAAAAUUGCAUAUCCAGUAUCAGGCUGGGAGAGAACACUGCUUCUUAUGAAUCCAGCAUACUACCCACACCAUGAUUCAUUUUGCUUCUUUGCUGUAACACAUGUUAGCAUUCUUUUU